AAAUGUACUCCCAGUUCCAUUUUGCUAGUAUACAAAUACAAAAAGAAAGGAAUAUUGCAGUGUAUCAACAAGGAUACAAUAAUGUAUGAACACACAAAACCCAGCAUGGAAGGUGAACCAUACACAUGUAUAUGUAUGUGGCACUGUUCCAUGUCCAAAGAGACUCAACCCAGUUCCAAAAGUCACCAACUCUUGCAUUCUCAACACCUACUAAAGCUCCUUUCCACAAAUAAUAAGCUACAGGAGGAAAAACCAGAAAUAUUAACACUAUAUUGCACGCCGCCCUAAUAAAAGACUUCAACGUUUUAGCUUUAGCAUCGAGCAUCAAGGGUCUAGUCAUUAAACACAUAGGGACCAGCAUGAGUGCGCCGAGUUCUGCAGUUGCAAAGUUUAUGACUGACAUUAUGCAAAGUCCAGUACAGGCAGCAGCAAUUGUGACUGAUUUCAAAAGAGUCCAUUCCAUUCCUUGAGUUCGGUUCAUGUGUAGAAGAGAAAAGGAGGAACCCAGAAUCGCUUGCAAGAUUAAGAGGGUGAAUGCUGAAAGGAUAAUCCAGCUUAAGAGGUUAGUUAGAGGUGAUGAAUCUUGUACUAGAGACAGAAAAUGUGGAAGUAAUGUUACAACGGCACCCCAAAAGUGGACAAUAAACACGGUCUUCGCUGCAUGAAGCCAUCUCCAGGAUCGAAAUGAGAUGGCUGGUAUAUCAGAAGAAGCUGGAGAAGAUGCAACCUUUGUUUCCAUCCCAGAAAUCCUUCUGGUAGAAUCAGUGAAAAGAGAAGCCGCGACCAUUGGAAGAGGAGCAACAAGCAAGGCAAAUGGU
rnacentral:misc_RNA from 1 species